rnacentral:rRNA from 1 species
CCUACGGGAGGCAGCAGUGGGGAAUAUUGGGCAAUGGGCGCAAGCCUGACCCAGCAACGCCGCGUGAAGGAAGAAGGCUUUCGGGUUGUAAACUUCUUUUGUCAGGGAAGAGUAGAAGACGGUACCUGACGAAUAAGCCACGGCUGACUACGUGCCAGCAGCCGCGGGAAUACGUAGGUGGCAAGCGUUGUCCGGAUUUACUGGGUGUAAAGGGCGUGUAGCCGGGUUGACAAGUCAGAUGUGAAAUCCUGCGGCUUAACCGCAGAACUGCAUUUGAAACUGUUGAUCUUGAGUACUGGAGAGGCAGACGGAAUUCGUAGUGUAGCGGUGAAAUGCGUAGAUAUUAGGAGGAACACCAGUGGCGAAGGCGGUCUGCUGGACAGCAACUGACGGUGAGGCGCGAAAGCGUGGGGAGCGAACAGGAUUAGAUACCCUUGUAGUC